UACGUAGGGACCGAGCGUUGUCCGGAUUCAUUGGGCGUAAAGAGCUCGUAGGCGGCUGUUCAAGUCGAACGUGAAAACUCGGAGCUCAACUCCGAGCCUGCGUUCGAUACUGGACGGCUAGAGUCUGGUAGGGGGAUCUGGAAUUCCUGGUGUAGCGGUGGAAUGCGCAGAUAUCAGGAGGAACACCAAUAGCGAAGGCAGCUCGCUGGGACGUAACUGACACUGAGGCGCGAAAGCGUGGGGAGCGAACAGG
rnacentral:rRNA from 1 species